rnacentral:rRNA from 1 species
UACGUAGGGGGCGAGCGUUGUUCGGAUUUACUGGGCGUAAAGGGCGCGCAGGCGGCUCGUUUUGUCAGGCGUGAAAGCCCCGGGCUUAACCUGGGAACUGCGUUUGAUACGGACGGGCUAGAGUUCGGGAGAGGAGAGUGGAAUUCCCAGUGUAGAGGUGAAAUUCGUAGAUAUUGGGAAGAACACCGGUGGCGAAGGCGGCUCUCUGGACCGAGACUGACGCUGAGGCGCGAAAGCGUGGGGAGCAAACAGG